ACUAAUGCAUUGAUGAAGAAUAGUAUAGCAGUCAUCCCUUGCGAAAAGAGAGUGUGAUCACCGGCUGAGAGUCACAUGGCAAAAUGAGCUAGAACCUACUUCUGAGCAGUUCUGAAAACAGAACCGUAUACUCUGCGAUAAAGAGUCUGAGCGUACUCUAUUUUUAGAGUAAAACAAGGUGGUACCGCGGAAUCCAAGCAUUUUCGUCCUUUUU
rnacentral:ncRNA from 1 species